rnacentral:rRNA from 1 species
ACCUGGCUCACGCCGGUUUAAACUCAGAUCAUGUAAAAUUUCAAAGGUCGAACAGACCCAAUUUGCUAGCUUCUACACCAACAAUUUAUUUUAAUCCAACAUCGAGGUCGCAAUCCUUUUCUUCGAUAAGAACUCUAAAAAAGAUUACGCUGUUAUCCCUAAGGUAAUUUAAUCUUAUAAUCUAAAUUUUAGGAUCUUAUAAAUUCAUAAAUUAAUGAUUUUAUAUAAAAAAAGUUAAUUCAAUUUUUUUAUCACCCCAAUAAAAUUUUUUUUACUAAAAAUUAUUAUAUUUAAUCCUAAAAUUUAUUAAUAAUAAAAAAAAUUAAACUCUAUAGGGUCUUCUCGUCUUCUAUAUAUAUUUAAGCUUUUUAACUUAAAAAUAAAAUUCUAAUUAAUUUUUAUAGAGACAGAAACUUUUUCAUCAAACCCUUCAUUCCAGCUUUCAAUUAAAAAACUAAUGAUUAUGCUACCUUUGCACGGUUAAUAUACCGCGGCCAUUCAACAUCUCAUUGGGCAGGCCAGACUUAAAAUUAUUAUCAAUAAGAC